rnacentral:lncRNA from 1 species
AGAGAAAUGGGCAGCAGCGGUGGCACUCAGCUCUGGGUGGUCUCCUGACCCAUGGCAGCCAGCUGGCAGGCGGAAGGAGGCAAUCACCCGGCGUGGGAUGCUGUGGAGCAAGGAGAAGGCAAGUUCAAGUUUACUUACUGGUGGGAUCGCAACUUGAAGGCAACUGAUAAUUCAGUUCUGAAGCAGGUGGACAUCUGGCAAUGGACCUGGCGUGGCUGUAGGAGGUGGAUGGUUGCUGGAAGAGUUUGCGUUCAGUGCUGGUUGAAGCCGCAAGGUUAAAUUGGCCAAUGUGGAUGCAAACUGGUUUGGAAGCCUUCUUUGUUAACAGGCAACCAAACAGAGGAGGGAAGCUGGCAGCAGGGGAAUGUCCCUAGGCGGAAGCCAGAGGAAUUGGCAUUUGUAUUUAGAUUAUGCCAGUGGGAAGUCGCAAGGCAGAGAAAGCCGGAUUAUAUUUGUGAAUGUCAAAUUCAUCUCUUGGCAGCUGUGAGGAGGGAAGUUGCCUAUCAGCAGCUAGUGGAGGCCGCAAGGCUGAUGAAACUGGCUGCUGUUUGUGAACACAAACUCGUUGGCAUUCACCAAUUGAGUGUCAGCUAGCUUACAUUUGUAGCCCUCGACAUUAAAUUGAUGGCCAAAGCGAGGAGGGAAGUUGCCCAGCACAGCCAUGGAGGUGCCCAACUGGACCCAGUGGACUUCACAUGUGGGUGCCAACAGAUGCCACAAGGCAAAUGAAGCUGGCUUCUAUUUAUUAUUAUUAUUAUUAUUAUUAAAGAUUUUAUUGGUUUACAAAAGUAUGUGCAAUGUCUCUCUCCCCCCCCCAGUAACAUUUUUUACAGAUCAGUUUGAUUUGUUGAGACAUUAGGAAGAAAAGGGGGAAAGAUGUGGAGGGGUGGAAAGUGAGUGGGGGCGGGUGGCGAUGUUUGUAUUUUACUUAAUUUAUGUGGGCUGGCUUCUAUUUGUGACUGCAAACUGGUUGCCCGUCAGCUCCAGGAGCCUGCCCAUUGUGCAGGCUUGCCAGGGAUGAGGUUGCCAGUGGAGGGGUGUGGGUGGACACUGUCGGAUGGUGGCUGUGGCGAUCACACAGGGUCCCCGGACGUCUGACGGUCUAUUGAUCCCUGUGCCACAACUGUGAUUGCCUCUUCGCUGCCACCAACCCGUUUUCCUCGGGUACACACGGAGUCCAUUCAGUUGUUAACAUUAACAAAUAAUCAAGUUUAUUUUAUAGGCAUGAACAAGCUUAUGGUUUCAGUUGAUUUUUUCUUGUCAGUUUCUUAAUCUUAGUUCGUUAACUGUCCUAACAACUUCAAACUGAUUAUUCCAACUAACUAUCUGACUCCACCUAACCGUUCCUCUCACUCUCACACAACUUGACCAACCCACAGAUUAAACCUCCCUCUUCCUUCUCCAACUCCCAACUAUCAACUGACUUCCACACCACACCCACUCUAACUCUUAACUCCUCCUAUCAGUUUCCACUGGCCAAUCACAUCACACUCAUUUUAACCCUUUCCUUAUGACCCACCUUGGAGGCAAACGCCACAGUGGCCAUCCCACUAACCUGUUUGCCUUUGCCUUUCAGGGACACCCGGAGCCGGCAAGGUUUUCCCCGAGACCAGCCGCGGAAGUCAUGAAGAGAACCACAGGACGUCCCAAUUUUCAUUGGAGAAAUGAAUGCAAAAUACUGGCAGUGAGUACUGGCUGCACCCCCCGGACACACUUGCCACGGGCAGAGCCCUCCGGGCAAUCUCGCUGCGGUGGCGGGGCUAGCUGCCCGCAGGAGCGCCUGGGGGGUGCAGCCUAAGAGACAAAAUUUAAAGAUAAAGAGGCAAAUAUCAGAACAUAAAAAAGGUCACAACAUUCUUUAACAUGGCAUCUAAAAUCAGGCACAGAAACCUCCCUAGCAUACAAAUGCAAUGAAUUGUACAGUGUGAGUGCUGGUGCAUUAAAUAUCCAAUUAUUUGUGGCUGCUGAGGAAUUCAUUUACAUAUUAAAUCCAUUUCUCUAAAUGCCCCUUCUCUCUCUCUCUGUCUCUCUUUCUCUGUCUCUUUUUCAACGCUUGCCCAUAGCUGUCAACUUACAGAUUUGAAAAUAAGGGACCAGCAGCCUUGAAAAUAAGGGACCAGCAGCCAAAAUAAGGGACCUGCAGCCUCACCUGUUCCAGGCACUCCAGUCUUCCUGUCCUCCUGCAGUCUGGUCAAACUCAUGCUGGUAGCUUCGAGAACACUAUCGAACCAACUUUGUAACCAGAGGUUCAACUGAAUAGAAUCUGAAUCACAUGCACCACAAGACCUAUGCAGCCUCAACUUAAGAUGGCUCCCCGGCCUGGCUUUGCACUGCAAAGUUUGCAGCAGCACGUGCAACAAAAUGGCGUCCAGCAUUCAAAAACCCCCUCAGCUUGCAUUUAGCUAGGCCUCGGGCUUCCUGUUUCCGGCAGUGGCUGACUCCCAUACGAUUGGGUCCCAGCUGUGCCGGUAAUUCAGGGCUGAUAUGGGGGUAAUUAGCCCUGGCGGACUCCCCAGGGUGGGGGAGGACUGUCUAGUAGACCCGCAGAUUGUCCGAGAUUGUCAGCUUGCAUCAAGGUGCAAGCAGCAGGACACUGGGUCCCAGGGCAAAACUGGCUAGCACUCUCUAAAGUCACUCUCAUAUCUGUUUGAUAAAAUAUUGGAUUUGGACAAUAAACAGACAUAGUCUGCACUGAAGAAGACUAAGAAAAAAACCUGCAGGUCUGUACAGUCCCUGGUGUUUAAGUUCAGGCUUCAAAGAGAUUCUCAUCAUGGCGUUUGGAUUACGGAGGUGUUUGGUACGUCCUUUUUCUCUUCUUAAUAUCUACAAUUGGUUUUCUAUGCCAAGCCCCAUCAAGAAAUUUAAAUAUAUAUUUUUAAAGAGUACAGAUGGAUUUAUAAUUAAGUAUUCAACUGAGGACACGGGUGGUGCUGUGGUCUAAACCACAGAGCCUAGGACUUGCUGAUCAGAAGGUUGGCGGUUCGAAUCUCCACGAUGGGGUGAGCUCCCGUUGCUCGGUCCCUGCUCCUGCCAACCUAGCAGUUCAAAAGCAUGUCAAAGUGCAAGUAGAUAAAUAGGUACCGCUCCAGCGGGAAGGUAAACGGCGUUUCCAUGCGCUGCUCUGUUUUGCCAGAAGCGGCUUGGUCAUGCUGGCCACAUGACCUGGAAGCUGUACGUCGGCUCCCUCGGCCAAUAAAGUGAGAUGAGCGCCGCAACCCCAGAGUCGGCCACGACUGGACCUAAUGGUCAGGGGUCCCUUUACCUUUAUUCAACUGCGCAGCUUUACUCGGACUUGAAAAACUUGAUAAAGAUGAAAGAAGAAACAAGAUGGCGCUUGUUAAUAUGACGAAGCACAGAAAAAUGAGAAAUCCUCCCUUUUUCGAGGGAAGCAGGAAAUAUUUGCUGGCUGACUUUGUAAUGACUUGAGAUAACAAUUUGGGACAACAUAUAGCGCAGCUGUUUGCAGAAGUUUUUCAUUAUGAGCGAGAGAGAAGGCUGAAUGGAUGUCUAGCAACCUGCCUUCUAGGGCCCGGAGGGGGGGAUUGUGUGGUCUCCGAGAGGCUGAUCGAUCGCCAAAUGACUUAUAUCUGUGGAAUACAGUUCAUUUAUAUUGCAAUAUUGCAAACAGUCUGCCCAGCAAUCUAUAGUAACAACUCAACAACGUGGAAGGCACUGUGUCAUUAAAUCUCAAAAGAAAGGUUUGGACAACAGCCUGGAUUGCAGUGAUUUAACAACUUGGGAGUUGCUGCAUUGUUAAACUUCAAAGGAUAAACUUGGACAUCAGCCGGGAUUAGAAGAUUGGAAUGAAGUCAGGAAAAGCUGUGCUGUUAAAUAGUCAAAAAAAUAUGUAUUUACAAAUAAAGCUGUAUUCGAUGGAUGAAAGGAUAUAUGAUUUUUGACAUGACUGAGAAUCGCAUAGCCAGGGACGGAGAACUUUAAAGUGUUAAGAUCAGAAGGCGGAAAACAUGAAAGCAAUGAAAAGAGGCAGGAAUGAAGAUUUGGAGAUAUGCUUCAGAGGUCCAGACUAUGUGGAGCCUGGAAAAAUGAAUAAUUACAAUUUGGAUUACAAUCAGGUUUUUUGUUUAUUUUUGUUUAUUAUUUUUAAUUGGACUAUGAUUCAGAUACAGUGGUAUCUCGAGUUACAUACGCUUCAGGUUACAGACUCCGCUAAUCCAGAAAUAGUACCUCAGGUUAAGAACUUUGCUUCAGGAUGAGAACAGAAACCGUGCUCCGGCGGUGUGGCAGCAGCAGGAGGCCCCAUUAGCUAAAGUGGUGCUUCAGGUCUCUCUCUCUCUCUCAUUGCUAUAGGAUUUUUUAUAAUGAUGGGGGGGGUUGCCCCUCCAGCACGCAGUAUGCAUCCCCCCUUUGUUCACACACACAAUGUCUCCUCAGAGCACCACAUAACACACACCACCACCAAUUUUCAAAGUUCUGUUCAGGAAGGAAAUGGCUACCAAGGGGCAUCUUGGGACAUGAGUGAGGGCAGCUAUAAUCCCUAAAUCUGCUGAGCUCAGGUACUCAGCAGCCCCUCUGCCUGAGUGAUAAUCUCUGGCAUCCUAAUACCUGAGUGCCAGACAGGUAGCAAUUCCAGAAGCAAUAGCAAACCCAAUCAAGACAAAAGGGUGUGAUCAACUUGGUUGGGAAACAAGAACAUGUAAAUAUCUCUUGUAUCACUUGAUCGGUGUACAGGUGAAACUCGAAAAAUUAGAAUUUUCUGAGAUUGUUAAUUUGGGGUUUUCAUCAGCUGUAUGCCAUCAUCACAAUUAUAACAAAUAAAGGCUUGACAUAUCUCGCUUUGCAUGUCAUGAGUCUAUCUCAUAUAUUAGUUUCACCUUUAAAGUUGAUUUACUGAAAUAAAUGAACUUUUCCACGAUAUUCUAAUUUUUCGAGUUUCACCUGUAUGUUGGAGGUCAAGAGAAGGGUGGGGUCAAGCCCUGAUGCUCAGGUUUCUGUCGCCAGACCCUCCCAAUGUGUGAUGUAUUUGUGAUGUAUGCAUGAUGUAAUUUUAGGGGUGUUGUGGGUAUCUUUGUAAAACUGAUAAAAGUGGGAGCCAUCCUUUGUUGUGGGCUUCUUCCUGCUGCUUCUAUGGGG